GACGUAGGGGGCGAGCGUUGUCCGGAUUUAUUGGGCGUAAAGCGCACGUAGGCGGCUUUGUAAGUUAGAGGUGAAAGCCCGGGGCUCAGCUCCGGAAUUGCCUUUAAGACUGCAUCGCUAGAAUUGUGGAGAGGUGAGUGGAAUUCCGAGUGUAGAGGUGAAAUUCGUAGAUAUUCGCAAGAACACCAGUGGCGAAGGCGGCUCACUGGCCCGAUACUGACGCUGAGGCACGAAAGCGUGGGGAGCAAACAGG
rnacentral:rRNA from 1 species